AUUGAACGCUGGCGGCAGGCCUAACACAUGCAAGUCGAACGAGUGGCGGACGGGUGAGUAAUGUCUGGGAAACUGCCCGAUGGAGGGGGAUAACUACUGGAAACGGUAGCUAAUACCGCCUACCAUCGGAUGUGCCCAGAUGGGAUUAGCUAGUAGGUGGGGUAAUGGCUCACAUAGGCGCCGAGCCCUAGCGGGUCUGAGAGGAUGACCAGCGAAACGGGAACUGAGACACGGUCCAGACUCCUACGGGAGGCAGCAGUGGGGAAUAUGGCACAAUGGGCGUAAGCCGGAUGCAGCCAUGCCGCGUGUAUGAAGAAGGCCUUCGGGUUGUAAAGUACUUUCAGCGUGGAGGCGUUACCCGCAGAAGAAGCACCGGCGAACUCCGUGCCAGCAGCCGCGGUAAUUC
rnacentral:rRNA from 1 species